CCUAGAGUAUGUAGGGCUUUGCCUGCUAUCUCUUACCCAUGUCUUUUGAGUACCUUCGUUUCCUCGGCGGGUCCGCCUGCCGAUUGGACAAUUUAAACCAUUUGCAGUUGCAAUCAGCGUCUGAAAAAACUUAAUAGUUA
rnacentral:misc_RNA from 1 species